CUUUUGAUUUUCAAAUAAUAUAACUGACAUGAGUUAUAUAUGUAUUUAUGUUAUAUAUUAAUAGGUAUUAUAAGUAUACGUAUAUUAUAUUAUCAUAUAUCAGUUUAUAUUACGUAUUAGUAAAAGAGAAAGGAAGAACAGAGAAACAGAAGAAGAGAGAAAAGAGAGAAGGAAGAAGAGAGUUUCCUUGUGAGUUGAGAAUUUAGAAGAAGGGGAGAGAUUUUCAAGUUCUUCACAUCUUAUAGCAAAUGUAUAACCCUACUUUUCUUAUUUUUAGUUUUCUUCUAAAGUUCUAGUUUUUAUAUACAUGAAAAGUUCUCUGUAAAAUUGGUGUGAGGGAG
rnacentral:lncRNA from 1 species